GUUGGUCUGACAGUUAUCUCUGCCAUAGCCACCGAAAACGUAGAGAAGUUUGCCCCCUCUAAUGGCGUUGCAGGUGUGUCCCCACCUCUUUCCGGGCCCAUUAAUCGGACCCAUAUUCUGACCCGCUUUGCUCUGCAUCUGCAACUUUUCCCAUCUCAUCUUCGAGAUUGACACAGAGGGGUAAGAUCUUCCCGGAAAAGAAAAUCAGAGAGAAAGGGGAGAGAGGAGAGAGAGAGAGAAUUGUGGGUUUGAUUUUGGGGAUUGGGUUUUAGGGUGUUGAGGGGUUGAGUUCAUGCAAACACAGACAAACAGCCAUCAACAAGUGUCACGGUGGUGGUGGGAGGAAGAAAAUAUUGCAAACGUGUAGGGGUAAUUUGGGAAACACAAAAAAUGUCAAGUCAGGGAGAG
rnacentral:lncRNA from 1 species